CUUUUGGUCGUGAAAAUACGGUAUACAAUUGGAAAAACUUUCUAUGACAGAGCACAUCUUUGUUAGCAUGUCUGCGCUUUAAAUUUUAAAAUCAUUAUUUAAAGAUUCAAGAUAAAUUUGAUUACAUAAGGACUAAGUAAGUGUAUUUUUUCAGAUAAUUAAAUCAUCUAUUUUCAUGAAGGGGCUGACAAUACUGCACAUUUUUACUGAGAUGCACAUUCAGCUGAACUCAUAGAAACUUCCUUUAAAGACAUCUUGCUAUUCUUGCAACUCUGCUCCUGGGAGUAAGGAUUUUGGGACAAACUGAGGUUUCUGGGGACAAUCCACAGGUCAGUCAGUCAUCUUCCCCGUUCCCCCUCCAUGUAAAUUUUUCCUUCUUUAGGAACUGCUUUCUGUCUCAGAAGCAUUUCAUCCUCCUUUGAAGCCUGUCUACCUGACUAAACAUAUGACAAUGGGAAGGAAAUAAAUUCACUUCCUUUCAAUAUGUGCAGAGUCUAGUAGGCUUCUCUCCAAAUAAUUUGCUGUAUCCUUAAUCUUGGCCCUAAAGUUCAAGGCUGGACUGUGGCUAAGGCUGCAAGUUGACUUGCAGGAUUAAAGCUUAACCUGACAAAAAAAAUAGGGAAUACUGGCCAGGAGAGGGAGAGCUGGACACCUAGUUUAAUUUAAAUUGGGAAAUGAUCCAGCAGGGUCAUCUACAGGCCCGACUAGUGGGCAGAAUCUAUUGUCUCACUGGGGUUCUUGUACUUUGAAAGCGCCCCUUCCACUUUUGAAAUGGGCAUAUAUUAUCUACCACCUAGAAGGUUGGGACAGCAUGGCUAAAAGUUGUUUUUUUCAUGAAUGGCAUAGAAAUCCUUCCUUUCCCCCCAGCAGAAUUGAAUCUAUCUGCAACUGGCUUGCCCUUGUCUGGCAAGAUUAGUGCAGUUUUGCAAGAAAGGGGUAUGGCUGUGCAUUAGGCUUUUGCCCAGACCCAAAAUUCAACAAAAAGUUGGUCUUGCUCUAGGAUAAAAUUCUCAUAGAUGCUUCUGUUAGCAAGUCCUUCCAAAUUGUGACUUCACUUCAGAUUUGCUAAUGGUACCUGUGGGGAUGAUGAAAAAUCAUUAUUGUGUUAGAAAAAUAGAGCAAAGAUUUCCCAGGUUGACUGCUAGUGGAUAUAUGGCUAUGUCUUUUCUUUUUUUCUUGACAUCAGUAUGGGUGUGAUUUGUGAUUAAUCAUCUCAGUACUUAUUAGAUCUGAUCCUCUUUAAUAAUAUAAUUAUUACUCUAUUAGAUUUAUAAGGCUCUCAAAAUAUGAAGGACUGUAAGUUACUAACAACACAGUCCUUUAUAUAUUUUUAAAUCAGAUGAAUUCAUUGAGUCACUUGUGAGCAAGCAAAUAUAGAUCAAGCCUUAAAAAGUCUGAUUUUAUGUAUAAAAUUCUACUGAAUCAUAUAGAAUAUUGUUUCUAAGUGCAUAGAAUUGCACUGUCACAUAGAAAAAAAUAUUUUGAAUCUAGUGACAUUUGUUUGCAGACCAGACUCUUAGUACCUUUGCAGAAUUACUUGAAUUUAAGACAUUUUUGAUAAAUUUAGUUGCUUAUUAGAAUUAGGAAGAUAUGGAAAUGCAAAAUUAUUAGUUUUAAUUUUCUUUUACAUAAAAAUUGUGAAAUCAAAUUAGUUUUUGAUUUCACAUUAAAAAGAUAUCAAGGAACCCUUGAUGCUGCCCUAGAAUAUAAGUAUUCUUAAGCUGUAGAGAUGGGUAGCAUGCUAUAGAAUUCAUCAGAUUUAUUGUACGUUGACUCCAGCUGAGAGCAUAUAAAAAGGGUAUUCAUGUGCUGUUCAUUGUUAAUUGAGAAAGCUUGUACAUAGAGGAAAUCCUCAGUUUAAAGUUCUUGUUUUACAAUUGUCCUUGUAGCUUCUGGAUUUUAUUAUAUGUUUGUAUGGUAUUUUCUACACUAAUUCAUAUAGCCUGUGUUUUAAAAUAGCUCUGUAAAUAUUUGCACAGAAAUAAAUACAUACAUAAGCUGUACCUCAACUUUUAACUGUCACCAUACCCAUCUUGUGCAAGAGUGGUACUUAAACUUUACAUCAUGCAGGCAGGAAAUAAGAGGCGCAAGAAUUUGAACUUUUAUUCUAUUAGAGUUUGCAUUUAUUAUAGAGCAGUCAUUGGAAUUUUUGUGGAAUGGCAUCUUUGUUAAUUUUGCUACAAUAAAUCUACCACAUACUUGGGGUCCUUGAAAAUCUAUUCUUUAAGUUGCUUUCCUAACUCAGCUUGCAAAAGUGCAAUUGUUUUAUAAGUAGAACACUAGAAUUGUGUAAGAGAAUAAUGUAGUACUUAAAUUGUUCCAUUUUCAAAAGUCUUCGUUAGCUUUAUAGUUUUGAAUCUGCAACAAUGAGGGCAGGCAUAUUAUUGGUAAUAGGGAGUCAUAUUUAACAUUAACAUUUAACAUAUUGAACAACAGCAUGUUCCAUAGCAGGUAGGGUUGCCUUAGAGAAUGUUCUGUUUUAUGAGCUUAAGAGGGGGAAGGUUUUAAAUGAUGUCAAAGUGCCAUAAAAAUUUUAUAUUAUGAAUCUACACAGUGCUCUCAAUAUUUGGAUUUGAAAUUGUAGAAGUUUCCAGAGCCAUAAAGAUAUUGCGGCCUCACUGAUUUGUGGGGCUUGCUAAUCUUUUCAGUAGAAGUUGACAUUUUAUUAUCAAAAUAAACAUUUUUCAUAUGUCCAUUUUGAUGUUACUUUUCUUGUCUGAUAUUCAAUGUUAUUGGUAAAUAAAUUAGAAAUAGUAAGAAUUGUGUUUGCUUGGGGGUUUUGUGGAUUGGUCUCUCUUUCCGACUGCUAAAAAUUGGAGCAACCUGAAGUUUAAGAAGAGUGAAAUACAGAUGUAGAGAAUGAUAAUCUUGGAUUACCUUGAUGAGACUGGAUCAUGAGCAUAAUGGGAAACUCUGAUAAAACCACACAUACAUAUUAAACUGAACUCUGUUUAGUGCAUAAUUUUCUUAUUCUGUGAAAUCCUAGUUGAAAUAAAUAAGAGCAGAAUUUC